CAGUUUUUCUGCCCUCUGAUGGAGAAGGAAAAGAGAAAACCCCGGAGCGAGGUUCUACCUACCCGAGGCCGCUGGUGUGCGGAGACCCCGGGGGAAGCCACCGUCACCAUGUCUGACCAGGAAGCAAAACCUUCAACCGAGGACUUGGGGGAUAAGAAGGAAGGAGAAUAUAUUAAAGUCAUUGGACAGGAUAGCAGUGAGAUUCACUUCAAAGUGAAAAUGACGACACAUCUCAAGAAACUCAAAGAAUCAUACUGUCAAAGACAGGGAGUUCCCAUGAAUUCACUCAGGUUUCUCUUUGAAGGUCAGAGAAUUGCUGAUAAUCACACUCCAAAAGAACUGGGAAUGGAGGAAGAAGAUGUGAUUGAAGUUUAUCAGGAACAAACAGGGGNGGAGUUGGUGAUGGACAGGGAGGAUAUCAUGGCAAGCAGAGCAGUAGAUUCUGUCAAGGUUAAAAUGGCCUAUUUAUCAGUGUCAGUUGAUGGUGGGGUGGAAGGUGAAUUACAGGUGAAGCAGUAG